rnacentral:siRNA from 1 species
CGGUGAAGUGUUCGGAUCGC